rnacentral:rRNA from 1 species
AUUGAACGCUGGCGGCAGGCCUAACACAUGCAAGUCGAACGAGUGGCGGACGGGUGAGUAAUGUCUGGGAAACUGCCCGGUGGAGGGGGAUAACUACUGGAAACGGUAGCUAAUACCGCAUACCAUCGGAUGUGCCCAGAUGGGAUUAGCUCGUAGGUGGGGUAACGGCUCACUUAGGCGACGUUCCCUAGCUGGUCUGAUAGGAUGACCAGCUACACUGGAACAUAGACACGGUCCAGACUCCUACGGGAGGCAGCAGUGGGGAAUAGUGCACAAUGGGCGCAAGCCUGAUGCAGCCAUGCCGCGUGUAUGAAGAAGGCCUUCGGGUUGUAAAGUACUUUAAGCGAGGAGUCGUGACUCGCAGAAGAAGCACCGGCUAACUCCGGGCCAGAAGCAGCGGGAAUAC